rnacentral:rRNA from 1 species
UGCAGUCGAGCGGAAGGCCCUUCGGGGUACUCGAGCGGCGAACGGGUGAGUAACACGUGAGCAACCUGCCCCAGGCUUUGGGAUAACCCCGGGAAACCGGGGCUAAUACCGGAUAUGACCUUGCACCGCAUGGUGUUUGGUGGAAAGUUUUUCGGCUUGGGAUGGGCUCGCGGCCUAUCAGCUUGUUGGUGGGGUGAUGGCCUACCAAGGCGACGACGGGUAGCCGGCCUGAGAGGGCGACCGGCCACACUGGGACUGAGACACGGCCCAGACUCCUACGGGAGGCAGCAGUGGGGAAUAUUGCACAAUGGGCGGAAGCCUGAUGCAGCGACGCCGCGUGAGGGAUGACGGCCUUCGGGUUGUAAACCUCUUUCAGCAGGGACGAAGCGUAAGUGACGGUACCUGCAGAAGAAGCGCCGGCCAACUACGUGCCAGCAGCCGCGGUAAGACGUAGGGCGCGAGCGUUGUCCGGAUUUAUUGGGCGUAAAGAGCUCGUAGGCGGCUUGUCGCGUCGACCGUGAAAACCUGGGGCUCAACCCCAGGCCUGCGGUCGAUACGGGCAGGCUAGAGUUCGGUAGGGGAGACUGGAAUUCCUGGUGUAGCGGUGA